rnacentral:rRNA from 1 species
AGUGAACGCUGGCGGCAGGCCUAAUACAUGCAAGUCGAACGGCAGCACAGCAGAGCUUGCUCUGUGGGUGGCGAGUGGCGGGACGGGGUGAGGAAUACGUGGGAAUCUGCCCAGUCGUGGGGGAUAACGUAGGGAAACUUACGCUAAUACCGCAUGCGCCCUUCGGGGGAAAGCCGGGGACCUUCGGGCCUGGCGCGAUUGGAUGAGCCCACGUCGGAUUAGCUAGUUGGCGGGGUAAAGGCCCACCAAGGCGACGAUCCGUAGCUGGUCUGAGAGGAUGAUCAGCCACACUGGAACUGAGACACGGUCCAGACUCCUACGGGAGCAGCAGUAGGGAAUAUUGGACAAUGGGCGCAAGCCUGAUCCAGCCAUGCCGCGUGAGUGAAGAAGG